rnacentral:rRNA from 1 species
UAGGGAAUCUUCCGCAAUGGACGCAAGUCUGACGGAGCAACGCCGCGUGAGUGAAGAAGGAUUUCGAUUCGUAAAACUCUGUUGUUAGAGAAGAACAGCGCAUAGAGUAACUGUUAUGCGUGUGACGGUAUCUAACCAGAAAGCCACGGCUAACUACGUGCCAGCAGCCGCGGUAAUACGUAGGUGGCAAGCGUUGUCCGGAUUUAUUGGGCGUAAAGCGAGCGCAGGCGGUCAAUUAAGUCUGAUGUGAAAGCCCCCGGCUCAACCGGGGAGGGUCAUUGGAAACUGGUUGACUUGAGUGCAGAAGAGGAGAGUGGAAUUCCAUGUGUAGCGGUGAAAUGCGUAGAUAUAUGGAGGAACACCAGUGGCGAAGGCGACUCUCUGGUCUGUAACUGACGCUGAGGCUCGAAAGCGUGGGUAGCAAACAGG